rnacentral:rRNA from 1 species
AUUGAACGCUGGCGGCAUGCCUUACACAUGCAAGUCGAACGGCAGCACGGGGGGCAACCCUGGUGGCGAGUGGCGAACGGGUGAGUAAUACAUCGGAACGUGCCCGAUAGUGGGGGAUAGCUCGGCGAAAGCCGGAUUAAUACCGCAUACGACCUACGGGUGAAAGCGGGGGAUCGCAAGACCUCGCGCUAUCAGAGCGGCCGAUGUCAGAUUAGGUUGUUGGUGGGGUAAAGGCCUACCAAGCCGACGAUCUGUAGCUGGUCUGAGAGGACGACCAGCCACACUGGGACUGAGACACGGCCCAGACUCCUACGGGAGGCAGCAGUGGGGAAUUUUGGACAAUGGGCGAAAGCCUGAUCCAGCCAUGCCGCGUGCGGGAAGAAGGCC